CCAAUAGCGUAUAUUAAAGUUGUUGCAGUUAAAAAGCUCGUAGUUGAAUUUCGGGAUCAAUAUGCCGGUCAUGCCUUGGUAUGUACUGGUAUCUUUGAUUUCUCCCUUCUGACGAACUUUGAUGUCAUUAAUUUGGUGUCAUAGGGAAUCAGGACUGUUACUUUGAAAAAAUUAGAGUGUUUAAAGCAGGCUCACGCUUGAAUACAUUAGCAUGGAAUAAUGAAAUAGGACGUUUGAUUCUAUUUUGUUGGUUUCUAGGAUCGACGUAAUGAUUAAUAGGGAUAGUUGGGGGCAUUAGUAUUCAAUUGUCAGAGGUGAAAUUCUUGGAUUUAUUGAAGACUAACUACUGCGAAAGCAUUUGCCAAGGAUGUUUUCAUUAAUCAAGAACGAAAGUUAGGGGAUCGAAGACGAUCAGAUACCGUCGUAGUCUUAACCAUAAACUAUGCCGACUAGGGAUCGGAUGAUGUUAAUUUUUUAAUGACUCAUUCGGCGCCUUACG
rnacentral:misc_RNA from 1 species